rnacentral:pre_miRNA from 1 species
CAACUACUCCCUCUGUCCCAAAUUUCUUGUCUUAGAUUUGUCUAGAUAUGGAUGUAUCUAAUACUAAAAUGUGACUUGAUACAUCCGUAUCUAGACAAAUCCAAGACAAGAAUUUUUGGACGGAGGGAGUACUUU